rnacentral:rRNA from 1 species
AGGGCGCACGGUGGAUGCCUUGGCACUAGAAGCCGAUGAAGGACGUUACUAACGACGAUAUGCUUUGGGGAGCUGUAAGUAAGCUUUGAUCCAGAGAUUUCCGAAUGGGGAAACCCAGCAUGAGUUAUGUCAUGUUAUCGAUAUGUGAAUACAUAGCAUAUCAGAAGGCACACCCGGAGAACUGAAACAUCUUAGUACCCGGAGGAAGAGAAAGAAAAUUCGAUUCCCUUAGUAGCGGCGAGCGAAACGGGAAGAGCCCAAACCAACAAGCUUGCUUGUUGGGGUUGUAGGACACUCUAUACGGAGUUACAAAGGACGACAUUAGACGAAUCAUCUG